rnacentral:rRNA from 1 species
AAGUCGAACGCUUCUUUCCUCCCGAGUGCUUGCACUCAAUUGGAAAGAGGAGUGGCGGACGGGUGAGUAACACGUGGGUAACCUACCCAUCAGAGGGGGAUAACACUUGGAAACAGGUGCUAAUACCGCAUAACAGUUUAUGUCGCAUGGCAUAAGAGUGAAAGGCGCUUUCGGGUGUCGCUGAUGGAUGGACCCGCGGUGCAUUAGCUAGUUGGUGAGGUAACGGCUCACCAAGGCCACGAUGCAUAGCCGACCUGAGAGGGUGAUCGGCCACACUGGGACUGAGACACGGCCCAGACUCCUACGGGAGGCAGCAGUAGGGAAUCUUCGGCAAUGGACGAAAGUCUGACCGAGCAACGCCGCGUGAGUGAAGAAGGUUCUCGGAUCGUAAAACUCUGUUGUUAGAGAAGAACAAGGACGUUAGUAACUGAACGUCCCCUGACGGUAUCUAACCAGAAAGCCACGGCUAACUACGUGCCAGCAGCCGCGGUAAUACGUAGGUGGCAAGCGUUGUCCGGAUUUAUUGGGCGUAAAGCGAGCGCAGGCGGUUUCUUAAGUCUGAUGUGAAAGCCCCCGGCUCAACCGGGGAGGGUCAUUGGAAACUGGGAGACUUGAGUGCAGAAGAGGAGAGUGGAAUUCCAUGUGUAGCGGUGAAAUGCGUAGAUAUAUGGAGGAACACCAGUGGCGAAGGCGGCUCUCUGGUC